CGACCGGUAAGACGAAAACGUGAAAUUUUAUUUCACUCUUCGCGACUGUAGUUAUUUUUUUAAUUUCGUUUUCGAACAGUUCAUAGAAGAAUGAUGGAAAAAAGUUCACCAUAGUCGACUAAUAGUCCAAUAUCCAGGGAUGUUCGAAGAAUGUUUUGGUAACGGUCCGUUCGUAUUCAGACUGAACGAAAAUGGAUGUGGACCUCAACUACUCACUCAGGUUUGCUUGGAGAGAGGUUGGAGAGAAUACAAUUGUGAGAAUGACAAUUGGAACCUUUGGUGGAGAACUUCCGGUUUUCCCGUGAGUCAUCAUAGGAGUCUUUACGCUUGGCAGUAUUUGAAUCAUAUCCCGAAGGGAGCUGCAAUAUGCAGAAAAGACAACCUUGUUCGAUAUCUGAGAUGUAUGCGGAAAGUAUACGGUUCCAUUUAUGA